rnacentral:rRNA from 1 species
UUCGCCCUUAGAGUUUGAUCCUGGCUCAGGACGAAUGCUGGCGGCGUGCCUAACACAUGCAAGUCGAACGGAGUUUAUUGAGGAGUAAUCUGAGAUAAACUUAGUGGCGAACGGGUGAGUAACGCGUGAACAAUCUGCCUUCCAGAGGGGGAUAACGUUGGGAAACCGACGCUAAUACCGCAUAAGACCACAAUGCCGCAUGGCGAAGAGGUCAAAGGAGCAAUCCGCUGGGAGAUGAGUUCGCGUCCCAUUAGGUAGUUGGUGAGGUAACGGCCCACCAAGCCGACGAUGGGUAGCCGAGCUGAGAGGCUGAUCGGCCACACUGGAACUGAGACACGGUCCAGACUCCUACGGGAGGCAGCAGUGGGGAAUAUUGGGCAAUGGGGGAAACCCUGACCCAGCAACGCCGCGUGAGGGAAGAAGGUUUUCGGAUUGUAAACCUCUGUCGCAGGGGACGAAGAAUGACGGUACCCUGUAAGAAAGCCCCGGCUAACUACGUGCCAGCAGCCGCGGUAAUACGUAGGGGGCGAGCGUUGUCCGGAAUUACUGGGCGUAAAGGGUGCGUAGGCGGUAAAUUAAGUUGGAUGUGAAACCCCUGGGCUUAACUUGGGGACUGCAUUCAAAACUGGUUUACUAGAGUGCAGGAGAGGGAAGCGGAAUUCCUAGUGUAGCGGUGAAAUGCGUAGAUAUUAGGAGGAACACCAGUGGCGAAGGCGGCUUGCUGGACGACAACUGACGCUGAGGCGCGAAAGCGUGGGGAGCAAACAGGAUUAGAUACCCUGGUAGUCCACGCUGUAAACGAUGAAUACUAGGUGUGGGAGGACUGACCCCUUCCGUGCCGCAGUUAACACAAUAAGUAUUCCACCUGGGGAGUACGACCGCAAGGUUGAAACUCAAAGGAAUUGACGGGGGCCCGCACAAGCAGUGGAUUACGUGGUUUAAUUCGACGCAACGCGAAGAACCUUACCAGGAUUUGACAUCCAACUAACGAAGUAGAGAUACAUUAGGUGCCCUUCGGGGAAAGUUGAGACAGGUGGUGCAUGGUUGUCGUCAGCUCGUGUCGUGAGAUGUUGGGUUAAGUCCCGCAACGAGCGCAACCCCUAUUGUUAGUUGCUACGCAAGAGCACUCUAGCGAGACUGCCGUUGACAAAACGGAGGAAGGCGGGGACGACGUCAAAUCAUCAUGCCCCUUAUGUCCUGGGCUACACACGUAAUACAAUGGUGGUUAACAGAGGGAAGCAAGACAGUGAUGUGGAGCAAAUCCCUAAAAGCCAUCUCAGUUCGGAUUGCAGGCUGCAACUCGCCUGCAUGAAGCUGGAAUUGCUAGUAAUCGCGGAUCAGCAUGCCGCGGUGAAUACGUUCCCGGGCCUUGUACACACCGCCCGUCA